AUUGAACGCUGGCGGAAUGCUUUACACAUGCAAGUCGAACGGCAGCACGGACUUCGGUCUGGUGGCGAGUGGCGAACGGGUGAGUAACAUAUCGGAACGUAUCCAAUAAUGGGGGAUAACUAAUCGAAAGGUUGGCUAAUACCGCAUACGCCCUACGGGGGAAAGCAGGGGAUCUUCGGACCUUGCGUUAAUGGAGCGGCUGAUAUCUGAUUAGCUAGUUGGUGAGGUAAAGGCUCACCAAGGCGACGAUCAGUAGCUGGUCUGAGAGGACGACCAGCCACACUGGAACUGAGACACGGUCCAGACUCCUACGGGAGGCAGCAGUGGGGAAUUUUGGACAAUGGGCGCAAGCCUGAUCCAGCCAUUCCGCGUGAGUGAAGAAGGCCUUCGGGUUGUAAAGCUCUUUCGCAAGGGAAGAAAACUUACUUUCUAAUAAAGAGGGCUAAUGACGGUACCGUAAGAAUAAGCACCGGCUAACUACGUGCCAGCAGCCGCCGUAA
rnacentral:rRNA from 1 species